GAGUAUUUUAUGGAGCUAGUGGUGCAGUAAGCAUAUAUAAAUCUGUAGUAGCUGCAAUGCAAUGGUCCGCUUCUCGAAUGAAACUUCAAAGUGGAAACGAUAGUAUUGAAGCUGGUUGGAUGGUAAAUCCACCUCUAUACAGCAACUCUGAUCCCCAUCUUUAUGCAAAAUUCACUGCUGGGCCAAAAGAAUGCUUAAAUUUACAAUGUCCGGGAUUUGUUCAAGUGUCCAAAAACUUUCCUUUAGGCGCUACGCCUGAUCACUAUACUCACAUAGGUGAUGACACAAUAUAUUAUUAGAACAUAUCUAUCAACAAGCAUCCUGAUGACGAAAAUUGGUGGUUGUCAAUUUAUAUGGAUUCGAGUAACAUUCCCGUCGGAUAUUGGCCGAAAAGCUUGUUUACAUCAUUGGCAGAUUUGGCUGCUCAAGUUGAAUGGGGAGGCGAAAUCAACAAUCCUGGUUAUAAAACUCCAGAUCCUGACAUGGGUAGUGGUAUAAAGGCAAAAGAUGACAUUGAUAAAUGUGCAGUGUUCUUCGGUCUUAGAGUUGAUAAAGGAACAUUAAUCCCAGAAGAUACAGAAAUAUAUGAAGAAUGUAAAGAUUAUACAGUCUAUGAUGCUGGAACUCGAGAUGAUUGGGGUCGUUUAUUUUUUUAUGGAGGUCCAAAUGAAUAAUAAUUUUUGAGUAAUUAUUGCUCCAAAUAAGUGGAACUAGUAUCUAUCUUCAUGUAAUUUGCAGCAAACUUUAUACUUGCCUUAAAGCGCUUUAAUAUGUUUUUAUUUAUUUAUUUAUUUAUUUUUUAUUUAUU